UGCGGUAGGGGAGACUGGAAUUCCCGGUGUAACGGUGGAAUGUGUAGAUAUCGGGAAGAACACCAAUGGCGAAGGCAGGUCUCUGGGCCGUCACUGACGCUGAGGAGCGAAAGCGUGGGGAGCGAACAGGAUUAGAUACCCUGGUAGUCCACGCCGUAAACGGUGGAUGCUGGAUGUGGGGACCAUUCCACGGUCUCCGUGUCGGAGCCAACGCGUUAAGCAUCCCGCCUGGGGAGUACGGCCGCAAGGCUAAAACUCAAAGAAAUUGACGGGGGCCCGCACAAGCGGCGGAGCAUGCGGAUUAAUUCGAUGCAACGCGAAGAACCUUACCUGGGCUUGACAUGUUCCCGACAGCCGUAGAGAUACGGUCUCCCUUCGGGGCGGGUUCACAGGUGGUGCAUGGUCGUCGUCAGCUCGUGUCGUGAGAUGUUGGGUUAAGUCCCGCAACGAGCGCAACCCUCGCCCUGUGUUGCCAGCACGUCGUGGUGGGAACUCACGGGGGACCGCCGGGGUCAACUCGGAGGAAGGUGGGGAUGACGUCAGAUCAUCAUGCCCCUUACGUCCAGGGCUUCACGCAUGCUACAAUGGCCGGUACAACGGGAUGCGACCUCGUGAGGGGGAGCGGAUCCCUUAAAACCGGUCUCAGUUCGGAUUGGAGUCUGCAACCCGACUCCAUGAAGGCGGAGUCGCUAGUAAUCGCGGAUCAGCAACGCCGCGGUGAAUGCGUUCCCGGGCCUUGUACACACCGCCCGUCAAGUCAUGAAAGUGGGUAGCACCCGAAGCCGGUGGCCCAACCUUUUUGGGGGGAGCCGUCUAAGGUGAGACUCGUGAUUGGGACUAAGUCGUAACAAGGUAGCCGUACCGGAAGGUGCGGCUG
rnacentral:rRNA from 1 species